rnacentral:rRNA from 1 species
GAUGAACGCUAGCGACAGGCCUAACACAUGCAAGUCGAGGGGCAGCACGGUGUAGCAAUACACGGGUGGCGACCGGCGCACGGGUGAGUAACGCGUAUGCAACCUGCCUACUACAAGGGGAUAACCCGUUGAAAGACGGACUAAUACCCUAUAACACAGGGAAUCCGCAUGGAUAUAUUUGUUAAAGAUUUAUCGGUAGUAGAUGGGCAUGCGUUCCAUUAGCUUGUUGGUGAGGUAACGGCUCACCAAGGCAACGAUGGAUAGGGGAACUGAGAGGUUGAUCCCCCACACUGGAACUGAGACACGGUCCAGACUCCUACGGGAGGCAGCAGUGAGGAAUAUUGGUCAAUGGACGAGAGUCUGAACCAGCCAAGUCGCGUGAAGGAGACGGCCCUACGGGUUGUAAACUUCUUUUGUAAGGGAAUAAAUAGUCUUACGCGCUAAGACGUUGCAGGUACCUUACGAAUAAGGAUCGGCUAACUCCGUGCCAGCAGCCGCGGUAAUAGUCACG